AAAAAAAAAAAUAAGACUUGGAUAACUUCGUGAAACCGGAGCUAAUACCGUAUAAUAUAUUGAACCGCAUGGUUCAAUAGUGAAAGACUGUUUUGCUGUCCCUUAUAUAUGUAUCCGCUCCGCAUUAGCUAGUGGGUAAGGUAACGGCGUACCAAGGCAACGAUGCGUAGCCGACCUUAGAGGGUGAUCGGCCACACUGGAACGGAGACACGGUCCAGACUCGUAAGGGAGGAAGCAGUAGGGAAUCUUCAGCAAUGGGCGAAAGCCUGCCGGAGCAAUGCUGCUUUUGUUAAGUAAUUCGGCGGCCCCCAAAAUCUACACUCUCCAU
rnacentral:rRNA from 1 species